GACAGCAGUCGCCACGGGAAUACGUAGGGUGCGAGCGUUAAUCGGAAUUACUGGGCGUAAAGCGUGCGCAGGCGGUUUUGUAAGACAGGCGUGAAAUCCCCGGGCUCAACCUGGGAACGGCGCUUGUGACUGCAAAGCUAGAGUGCGGCAGAGGGGGAUGGAAUUCCGCGUGUAGCAGUGAAAUGCGUAGAUAUGUGGAGGAACACCGAUGGCGAAGGCAAUCCCCUGGGCCUGCACUGACGCUCAUGCACGAAAGCGUGGGGAGCAAACAGGAUUAGAUACCCCUGUAGUCCCCUGUCUCUUAUA
rnacentral:rRNA from 1 species